UACGGGGGGAGCAAGCGUUGUUCGGAUUUACUGGGCGUAAAGGGCGCGUAGGCGGUCGUGACAAGUCACUUGUGAAAUCUCCGGGCUUAACUCGGAACGGUCAAGUGAUACUGUCGGACUAGAGUACAGAAGGGGCAACUGGAAUUCUCGGUGUAGCGGUGAAAUGCGUAGAUAUCGAGAGGAACACCUGCGGCGAAGGCGGGUUGCUGGGCUGACACUGACGCUGAGGCGCGAAAGCGUGGGGAGCAAACAGG
rnacentral:rRNA from 1 species